rnacentral:lncRNA from 1 species
GGUGGGGAUAAUGUUUGAAAUUACAAAUGGAUUCAAUGCAUAAAUAAUUUUUCAGUUAAAAUACACUACCUAAGGAAAAUUCAGUGAAGACCAGUAAUAUGAUGAAUUUUUCCAUAGGUACAAUCAAACAAUAUCGUAGCGUUAUGAAUUUCAAUGUACUUCCAAGUUAUUUGUUUGCAAAUAGAAGAGUGGUAAGAUCGGCUGAUAAAUUCGUAAACCUUCCGCAAAUUAUUAGGAUUGUAUAAAAGAAUAUUUGAUGAAUGAAUCUAUAGAAAAAUCAAUAUGCAUAUACCCAACACCAAGUUGUUCCUAAUAUAAAGUAUGUAUUUUGAAACUAUGCAAAGUAUCGCCACUUUUCUCAUCCCUGUAAAACAUAAGCGGAAAUGUAAAGAACAGGGAAUGAUGGGCCAGAUUCUGUCCUCAUGAUAAAAAUUUUCGGGGAAAUAGAUUCAAUCCAUGUCCUCAGAAAUUUCUUUCAUGAGGACCGGAUCAUUCCAGAGGAGUGGGAUCUGAGAAUCGAAUCCAUGUCUGCGGAAAAUUUCUUUCGCUCCAAGCCUAUGUCCUUUGGGAUGGAAACCAAACCUUUUACAUACAUUCGAGCCAUCAUAUUCCACAUUAAUUAUAGCUGAGCCAUCAUAUUCCACAUUAAUUAACUGAAAAAUUAUUUAUGGUUUGAAUUUAUUUGUGAUUUCGAAUGUUAUCUUUAUUGAGGUACUAUAUCACAUUUGCUGAAUUGUAACUGAUAAAAGUUGUUUGUUCUUUCUGAAUUUGUUGAAGAAUAGAAUCGUAAGAUCAUUAAUCC